GCUGGCCACGCUUUUCCACAAAUCCAGUUUCCGAAGAAUACCGAGAUGCUCCAGGUCCCCUCAGAAGAAGGGUUGCUAAAAAGCAACAAGACUCUAGUGAGCAGAGGUCUCUGAGCUGGUGCUGAUCUCAGGGAAGACGAAUGUGGAUGAAAGGGCUAUAGAAAGAUUUUUUAAAGAUCUAUAUAAAGAACAAGAAGUUAGUCCCUUUCGGACAAAAAUCUUCAGUAAAAUUGAUCUGUGCCCCAGGCACACAAAGAAGCAGGAAUCUGGGUAUUCUCACUGUGAAUAUUCCGUAUGUCUAGCUCCUGGAACCAGAGAAUACCAAGGAAGACAGAUUAUUUGGAAGAUAUGGAUGCCAAAUUGCUUCUCAAUCCAGUCUCAGAAGCCAGAGAUGUCAGUGGGUGCUGCUGUUUUAUUUCCUGUGAAUCAGAGGAUAAUCAGAAACCAAAUGAAAAUAUUGCCACAGCUAAGAUUGAAAAGAAGGCAAUUUAUGAGUGAAGUGUGGGUUUCAAAUGAGAUCUUCUCUGUUGACAGAGAGCCUUUGCUCCAAGCCAAUACCUGAGCUUCUGCCAGUUCGACCAAUUAUAAUGGAGGAAGAAGAUGAGGGAUUAGAAAAAACAAAGCUGACAGAUGGCAAUUUGUGAAGAGUUGAAUCAACAUAAAUUAUAUCUCAUCAGCGAGCGGAGGAAAGAGAGGAUGUUUUCCAGUGUUCGGCUAACCACUGAGAUGGUGAGCAUGCCAGAGGCACAGCAAGCAAACCACUGGGCACCCUCGAGAGUUGGAUGCAAGCACAGAGCUGGAGAAAUACCCUUUAUUGGAAAGCCAUAUGGAUUGCAAAUUGUGGGUAGACAUCUAUUUGAAACAAUACAAUAAAUGAACAUCUGGGAUUUUGGAAGGUGUGUGUCAUAGACUACAGAAAAUCAGAACAAAAAUUGCCCGUAACUAGAUAUGAUAAUGCAGAAAGUAUCCGAGACUCGCCAGUACAAAACCCACCUUUUUAAUAGUGUAUAAAGAGCUGUACGGUAUCACUGCUGACACAAGAGGGCGCAGUAGGACGCUUGUGAGUUUUUUUCUGGCGCUAAGGCCGAGGGUGUAACCCUCUGUGAGCUGUCCAAGGUCUGAAGAAGGCAAGAGCCUUAAUCCAGAACACAGAACGAAAGAAAAUGUUUUCCACCCCCAAACAAAGUAACAAACAAAUAUGUGCACAUUAGGAGCCACCGAAGCCAGGAUCUCAGCUCAGAUCAUUUUUAUCAGAUUCUCUAGGGAUGGGUCCCAGACAUCAGCAAAAACAACAACAACAACAACAACAACCAACAACAAAUCCCAGACUAUUCUAAUGUGCAGCCAGGAUUGAGAAUCCCCGACGCAUAAGGGAACUGAAAGCGACCUGACCGCAGGCGCCAUGCGUAAUUGGCAGGGCCCAUGCUGGUCUCUUUCAUUCCCUCAAAGAUCUGGUUCAACUGCCGGCGACUCUCCUUGUGCCUCACGUUCCCUGCUCACAUCAGUGAACCUCCUUCCCUGCUCUGUAGACUUCCCUGGGAAAGACGGUGACUGCCCUGCCUCCUCCACCCAGCCCUGAAGCACAGAGCAGGGCUGGAGCAGAGGCACUUGAUGCUACAGUCAAUCGUGGUUCAUUCAGCUGUUCUGCAAAAGGAUUGCCUCACAACACAGAGGCCUCCUUAUUCUAUACUGCAGUCAGCCCCGCACCGGAAGACGCUCAGUGUUGAUGAUGAAGCACCUCAGCCCCAGAUUCCCCGCAGCCAGCUUUCAACAAGUUUUGCUCAUGUGGGACAGGAGGUUGGGGUGGAGGGAGCUCUGCACCUGAUUUCUUAUGCUGCACAAUUGGGGGCUGCAGUAGGGAACUAGAGCUUCUCAGGAAGGGGCUGGAGUAGAGAACUAGAGCUUCUCAGGAAGGGGCUGGAGUAGAGAACUAGAGCUUCUCAGGAGGCAGAGAGGAGAGGAGAGAACUUUGGCAGCCCCUGCAGGGCUGAGAAUCCUCUGCCUGACAAGAGUGCAGAAGGUAGCUGUGCUUCUCUUCACUCCCAAUGUCCUUAAGGCCACAUUUGAGCGGGUCCUUGGCAUCUUGCUGAGUUUACAGCUCACGGGGGUGUGAGCAACUGCAAAGGACUGUCUUCAUGGACAGCUCAAAUGUCCUAAGGAAUGUGAUCCCCUUGUUCUCCUAGUGGAAUCACAAUCUCUUUGGGGGUUUUCCAAAGGACCAAAUGUGGAAUGCAAGAAGGAUACAACCACAAAAUGACUUACCAGGGAUUUCCAUUCUGCACUGUAAUGCUUUUCCAUUCUCUUCUCUUCCCCUAAACACAUCCCAGUCACUGCUGACUCAAGACAAAAGGAAGAAGUGAAAGCAAGACCCAGUGGUAGUUAGAAUAUUUUCACCAGUGAAGAGAGAUUUUCCCAGAAAUCCCCGCACAAUGUGAUUGGUUGUGUCAGUGGAGGAAAAGGAGGCAAUCGCUUUAGAUGCUGCAUUCUUGGGGGCCACUUCCAUUGGGCCUAUGAGAAAUAUCUGAUGACCCAACGCUUAGGAAACACUGGGGAAAGUAAGCUGUAUGCACACUCUAGUUAUCUUUCAUUAGAACUGUUUCAGCUAUCUAUUGCUUUAUAGUAUAUCAGCCCACACUUUGUUGGCUUAAGACAGUCAUGUAUUAUUUCUCAUCAUGCUAUGAGUUGGCUAGGGGGUCAGUCUGCUAACCUUGUGAAUGCAUCUGCGACAAAUGGGUCUUUUAGUCUCCUGGACUUUCAUCUUGGGCUUCUUUCUGGUAUGAAGGUCUCAGGGCAGCAUCCCCAAGGAGCAAAAGCAGAAGCUAAAAGGCCCCUUGAGAUUUCAGUUCUGGCAUUUGAACAUGACACCCACUGCAUUCUAGUAGUCAUGGCAAGUCACAGGCAGGAAUAAAUUCCAUUCCUGAUAAAAGAAGCCGAAAAACAUUUGUGGCUAUCUUUAAUAUAUCACAGCAUUUCUCAUCCUGAACACCAGUUGACAUUUUGGGCCAAAUAAUUCUUUGUUGGGUGGAGGGGAGAGGGCUGUCCUGUGUAUUAUAGGGUAUUUAACAAUACCCCUGGCCUCUACCAAUUAGAUACCAGAAGCAAGAGCAAGUGCAUGCACACAUGCUUGCACACACACACUCAUUCACUCACCAGUUGUGACAACAAAAAUGUCUGAAGACAUUGCCAAGUGUUCCCAGGGGAACCAAAACUCACCUCUCAUUGAGAACCACUGAUCUAUGAUAAGUGUGGAUUUAUUUUAGGUGGGAACUCUGGUACUUGGUAUCAACACCUCCCUUUUCAGAUCAACACUGACUCAAACCUGCUUGAAUAAAUUUACAUCCCCACGUGGACUAAAUUACUUGGCUGGAAUAAUAAUAAGUUCACAUACCAACUUGUGGGUGGACUCAAUACUUCUCUGCUGAGGAAAAGGAAGUCCAUAUCCCGCCACUGAACGUGGACACUGGUGAGCCUUGGGAAGCAGUUACUGACUUGUAUCUGGCUCCAUGAGGCCAGGACAUGAUCACGGUGGUCAGUUCCAAAGAGAAGGAAAAGAGGUUACGUAUGUGGAUGAGAAUGAAAGAGACAUUGUGCAAUUUGUUGGGAUUUAUCUCGCUUUUGUUCACACACAGAAGAAAAAUCCAUAUCCUGUGCCGUUCCUCAAGUCACACAGUUCUGGGGUAAUAUUUGUGGAGCAGCAUUCCUCACAGGUGCCCUUUAUGAUUUAAACCAUCAUUUCUUCCCAACAAUUAUUCAUUUUCAGGUUUUUCUUAUACUUCAUUGCUCUUCUCCCCCAAGUGUGUGAGAUGCAGUGAUCAUUACAAAAUAACAAGAAAUCUUAAUAUCUUCAAAUGCUAGAUGUGCUCUGGCUUGAAAAUGUCAUGUCUGCCCAUGCUAUAACCACUCGGUGCUUCUCCAGCAGGUUAGGGCCAUUUAUGAUGAUGAUAAUCUCAGCUGAGAGGUGUUGCUGACACCAUUAUUUCUUGAAAGAGACUGAAGGACCCGACUUCUUUAUGUUCAGAAAGCAUCUCAUUUUCUUGUCUCAGUUCUUUGAUGUUGCCAGGAAUCAUUGAACUGUGAGAAGCUGAGAGAAAAUUUAUAUUCCACAGAAAUAAUGUUUUUGCUCAAAGCAGGAGCACAACAUUGGGGCAGAACUUUUGUUUAUGGAACCGGAUACAUAUGGAGAGAGAUCAAGAAUGAAAACCACCUUGAAGACUUUGUAAAAAUAUUUUGUCCCGUGGCCAAGCCCUUUCACUGCUUACCUUAUCGAUAACGGGCUCCAAAUAUUUAUUUUUUACUGAGCAAGAAACUGAAUUUGAGAAGCUGGCACCAGGUUGCACAAGUUAUCUGUGAUGCUGACACAGUUACAGCAUUGCCUUCACAGGUCUCAUGAAUUGCUGCCAGAUUUUAAUUGGAACGUACACAUGAAAAAGAGAGACUCUUUUGACUGUCUAUAAAUAAUCACAACAGCAGAAACGCAGCAGCUAUAGAAAUAGUUACGGAAAAUAAGAACUUCCCUUUGAAAAAUGCAGGCUUUUUCAACUCUUUCUGUGGGUUCAUCUCUCUGUUUCCCUGUACCUGGAAUUAUCUCCAAAUCUAGGUUUGCCAUUCUGUCCAUACACUAUGUACUCACCUCUGUUUUUUUUCAAUAUUAGUCUCUUUAGGCAGUAUUUGCCAUGGUUUUCAGGAGUUCUGGUGCAUAUGAUUUAAAACUUUAUUUUCAGUAACAUAUUGGUUUACAUUCUUAGCUCCCAUUGGACAGAGCAUGCAGGAGAAUUGAAAUUGCUAAACAGGUGCUCUUUACCUUCUCAGGUGUUCUGUGCUGCACCCACAUACCAUUCACCCCGGCUGUAAUAUAUGUGUGUGAGGUUAAAGCAGUUAAAAGUGCUCCUCAAAACUCCCAUACCAUUAUAAUACUUGGAGAACUCAAGGACCUAGUGCCAAUGAAAAUAUGUUGAUUAAAAUUGAGUUAACAUUUGAAGAUCUCCAGGCCAAUUCAGAGGCCCUGAUCUUUAAGCCAAGUGUGGGCUUCAAUUUUGCACUGUGUGCUUUUUGAGCAGGUAAGGAGUCUAGCCUUUAGCUAGUUGAACCUAUUUGAUCCAAACCAACAGGUUAGGGCAUUGACACUACCAACCCUCAAUAGCUGGCCAGGAAGGCAGUUGUAGAAGAAGGCAAUGAACAAUCUCCAUGCAAAUCCUUGUCUUGGGCUCUGUUUUCCAGGGGUUACCAAGAUGAAGAUAGUCACUUCACCAACCAAAAGCUGUGGGCUAUAUCACCUUCCCACCCCUACAGCACAACAAAGGUAGAGAAAGCUGUUGAUUUACACCAAGACAGAGAGGCCCACUUCCUGGGAAAUAAGCAACUGACAGCAGGCAUUUUGCAUUCUGUGCACUGGAAGAAGGAGAGUUCCCUGGAAGGAGCAAAACUUUUUAGCAGUGAAUGAGUGUGGGGAUUUGCAUUACAUACUUGAAGCAAUUGUAAGACCAAAGGCAAAGUCCUUUUUGCCGUUGUUAGUGGAGACCCUCCUGCACGGCGCAGAAAGGCACAGAAAAAGUGAUGAGAACUGGACACUACACCUGGAUAAUGAAAAAAGAAUUCAGAGAGAAACAAUUUACUUAGUCACAAAUAGUUUUGGGAAAAUUAUCAGUAUCGAAGUGGAGUCACCAAUGUCAAGUCCUAACACAUGAAGCCAGGAGGCCGUGACGGAGGGACCUCUUGCAUGCCUGCCUAUAACGGGAAUUACGCAAGGAAUUCCUCAAAGCUGCAGCGUUCCAAAUAAGCCAGUUGCACAAAGAAACUUGCCUCACAACAGCUGCCUCCACCCAUGAGCUAAUGUCAGCUCCCACAACAAGCCCCUGUAACCAAUGGUUUGUUUCAAAACAGCUUCUGCAGACUCCUUUUUGCCUUAAGAGUUUUCACUUUCCUCAUUCCUCUUUGAUGUGCCUAUGGUCUGCCAUAGCACACAUACCUUUCGUUGCAAUCCCUUGCUAUUCCUGAAUGAAUUCUUUGCUUUGGAGAGUUGGUCCCUGUCACUCAUUUUAGAUUGACAGUUUAGAAUUUCUCCAAUUUUUAUUAAGUUAUAUUUAUACUGGAAUUGUACUGCAUAACACUUUUAUGUGUGUGCAUGUAAGUAUAACCAUACUUAUGAAAGCUGGAAAGUCUAUUUCAUUCUCGUACCAUGAAAUUUGAUCAACGAUUUUCAAUCUUUUUAUUGUCUUUCUAAAGCCCUGAGUUAAAGAAUUCCUUCAGGUACUGUUAUAAAUGAGUGACAGGGACAGGGAAGGUUUUGGUGUCUUCAGUGAGAAGGUAGCUAAGCAGGAGGCUUCAUGGAAGGCUGCCCCAGCAGAACUUAUUUCUCUCUGGGUGUUAUGGGCUGAACUGCAUCUCCCCAAAAUUCACAUGCUGAAGUCCUAACUCCCAGGACUUUAGAAUGUGAUCGUAUUUGGAGAUAGGGCCUUUAAAGGGUUGGUUAGGUUGAAGUGGGGUAAUUAGGAUGGGUCCUAAUCCAAUCUGACCAGUGUCCUUAUAUGAAGGGGAAAUUUGGACACAGAGACAGAGACCACGCCUCUGGGAGACCAUAUGAAGACACAGGGAGAAGACGGCCACCUGCAAGCUGCGGAGAGAAGUCCAGGAGAAACCAAACCCGCCAGAUGCUUUGUCUUGGGUUUCUAGCCUCCAGAACUACGAAAAAAAUUAAAUUCCUGUUGUCUGAGCCGCUUAAUCUGCAGUAUUUUGUUAUGCAUCCCUAGUGGACAAAUGCACUGGGUAUGCUCUACUUUAUAUUUGCACACUCAAGGGGAUGGGAUCAGUGGGAAGAAAGUCACCCACAGGGGCUGUGAUGAGGCCAUCUUAACCUUGAACCAAGAAGGCAGAGAUGAACUACAUGAUUUUGAAAUCCCUUUAGCACCCUGGCAGUUCGGGUAAGUCUGAGUUUUCCCCAUGAGUCAUUGUGAUGGAAUCAAAAGAAGCAUUGGAAUUAAGGUGAUUCUGAUGACAGCCUCUCCCUCCUCUUUCCCUGCCCUCCCAUCCCCACAAGAAGGAGUACAUACUCAGUUUUGUUGUUGAUGUUAUUGUACACUCAGAGUGACCUAUCUCCUCAUCCAUGCAUAUUCCCUUGUCAGAGUUUUUGGAACCAAAAGAUAACAUUUAGAAAAAUGACUGAUCAGCAUUCACAGUAGAGUCUAGUGUCAUGCUUCCUAAUCCUGAGCAUGCAUCAGAAUCGCCUGGAGCAUUUGUUAAACUUGUUAGAACACAGAUUGCUGGGUCCCACCGCCAGAGUUUCUGAUUCAACAGUCCUACGGCUAGGCCUGAGAAUCUGCAUUUGGAACAAACUCCCAGGUGGUGCUGGUGCUGCUGUUUCAGAGCCGUAUUUUGAGAACCAUCACCUAGGGCAAUGGACACAAGGAAAUAUUAUUUGUUCACAAUUCUCUGGCUCCAGCUCUAACCACGUUUGCUCACCACAGCAGACAGAAUAGAUGUGUGUGUGUGUGUGUGUACGUGUGUGUGUUGUACUUGCAUUUUGAAUUAGGCCUAGGUUAGAGUAAAUGUUAUCUUAGAGAGCUUCAGAAAAACAUGUGCUGCUGUAAUUAAAUUUUUCCUCAAAUGAAGCUGCUGAGGAGGUUGACUCUAUCCAGUAAAAAGACAUUCUAAAAAAUUCCAUUUAGUAAGCAUUUGUCUUUAAGGCAAAUGAGCAACAAACAUACUAUUUAAAUUUUAUUGUUGUUUUUUUCCUUACUGUGUGACUUUCUCUUAAAAAAUCCUCAAAGCAGAGUAAAGUGUAUAAGUACUACAGCGAUCUGUAAGCUAAUGAUGAUAAUUAAAUUUACAUAGGGUUUCUAUUCCUCAAAUAAGAAGCAUUGAACUUAUAUUGAGCCACUUUGACAAAAAAAGGGCUAGCAGUGUUGAAUCUUCUUACAGUAAAAUUGAAGAGACUGUUCAAAGUAGUUUGUUCUAGAAGAGUUUUAUCAAUUAUUAUUUGAGUGACCAUUGAUUGUGACUUGGGAGUAUUUUUUGUGUGUGAAGAUACUCAAUAAAUGUUUAGUCUUUGUUAUGAGAA